UCUUUGUUCCUUAUGUUGCAA
ensembl:piRNA 21ur-6693 ncRNA